rnacentral:rRNA from 1 species
UGGGGAAUUUUGGACAAUGGGCGAAAGCCUGAUCCAGCAAUGCCGCGUGUGUGAAGAAGGCCUUCGGGUUGUAAAGCACUUUUGUCCGGAAAGAAAUCCUUGGCUCUAAUACAGUCGGGGGAUGACGGUACCGGAAGAAUAAGCACCGGCUAACUACGUGCCAGCAGCCGCGGUAAUACGUAGGGUGCAAGCGUUAAUCGGAAUUACUGGGCGUAAAGCGUGCGCAGGCGGUUUGCUAAGACCGAUGUGAAAUCCCCGGGCUCAACCUGGGAACUGCAUUGGUGACUGGGCAGGCUAGAGUAUGGCAGAGGGGGGUAGAAUUCCACGUGUAGCAGUGAAAUGCGUAGAGAUGUGGAGGAAUACCGAUGGCGAAGGCAGCCCCCUGGGCCAAUACUGACGCUCAUGCACGAAAGCGUGGGGAGCAAACAGGAUUAGAUACCCUGGUAGUCCACGCCCUAAACGAUGUCAACUAGUUGUUGGGGAUUCAUUCCUUAGUAACGUAGCUAACGCGUGAAGUUGACCGCCUGGGGAGUACGGUCGCAAGAUUAAAACUCAAAGGAAUUGACGGGGUC